rnacentral:lncRNA from 1 species
GGGGCUCGGCGAUUUGUGUCAAAGGGCGUGAACGAGAGAAGAGAUGUACCAGUUCAACCUGGUAAGAAAUUAACAGCUUAUGAAGCAGGAGAUAAUGAGUUUAUUAAGUUCGCAAGCUUUUAAAAGUAGCAGCUUACCCUCUCUGGCUUUUGGUAGAGAGCUGUGAUCAGGCAAUAGAUAGUAGACUCCUCACCAAAUUUGGAAGUAGUUUGAGAGGGUCUGCGGAUUCCACAUUAAAUACGUAAGGAUAAAAAUAAAUUAACAACAAAAAUUGAAGUUGUAAUAGGAAAAGCUAAGUUGUACCCAUUUAAGUUAAUACUGCUUCAAAAUCAUCUAUUUACAUGUAUACGACGUUUAUGAAAUCUGAAUUUUGACUUAAUUUAAGGGUAUAUAUGUAAGAAAUUGACAAUUAAGUAUACUGACCUUUAUGCCAGACGAGCGCUCAUGCUUGUUGAAUGUACAAUUCCUGCUUAUCUAUGACGUAACAUCCGAUAGUAGUCCCCGGCACAAUGCAGAACUGCUCAUGGAAAGUGCCGACUCGUCGACUUGCUAUAUCAAAGGGAAUGUCUUGCAUAUUGGGCAU